rnacentral:rRNA from 1 species
AUUGAUUUUAUGCUUGCAUAAAUGAUUUUUGGAUUCGGAGCGAGUGGCGAACUGGUGAGUAACACGUGGGUAACCUGCCCCGAAGCGGGGGAUAACAUUUGGAAACAAGUGCUAAUACCGCAUAAUUAGUUGGAACCGCAUGGUUCCAACUUGAAAGAUGGCUCUGCUAUCACUUUGGGAUGGACCCGCGCCGUAUUAGUUAGUUGGUGAGAUAAAAGCCCACCAAGACGAUGAUACGUAGCCGACCUGAGAGGGUAAUCGGCCACAUUGGGACUGAGACACGGCCCAGACUCCUACGGGAGGCAGCAGUAGGGAAUCUUCCACAAUGGACGAAAGUCUGAUGGAGCAACGCCGCGUGAGUGAUGAAGGUUUUCGGAUCGUAAAACUCUGUUGUUAAAGAAGAACAAGUGUUAGAGUAACUGUUAACACUUUGACGGUAUUUAACCAGAAAGCCACGGCUAACUACGUGCCAGCAGCCGCGGUAAUACGUAGGUGGCAAGCGUUGUCCGGAUUUAUUGGGCGUAAAGCGAGCGCAGGCGGUUUUGUAAGUCUGCUGUGAAAGCCCUCAGCUCAGCUGAGGAAGUGCAGUGGAAACUACAAAACUUGAGUACAGAAGAGGAAAGUGGAACUCCAUGUGUAGCGGUGAAAUGCGUAGAUAUAUGGAAGAACACCAGUGGCGAAGGCGGCUUUCUGGUCUGUUACUGACGCUGAGGCUCGAAAGCAUGGGUAGCGAACAGGAUUAGAUACCCUGGUAGUCCAUGCCGUAAACGAUGAAUACUAGGUGUUGGAGGGUUUCCGCCCUUCAGUGCCGCAGCUAACGCAUUAAGUAUUCCGCCUGGGGAGUACGACCGCAAGGUUGAAACUCAAAGGAAUUGACGGGGGCCCGCACAAGUGGUGGAGCAUGUGGUUUAAUUCGAUGCUACGCGAAGAACCUUACCAGCUCUUGACAUCUUCUGCCAACCCAAGAGAUUGGGCGUUCCCUUCGGGGACAGAAUGACAGGUGGUGCAUGGUUGUCGUCAGCUCGUGUCGUGAGAUGUUGGGUUAAGUCCCGCAACGAGCGCAACCCUUAUUAUUAGUUGCCAGCAUUUAGUUGGGCACUCUAGUGAGACUGCCGGUGAUAAA